GCCGCAGUGGCUCAGUUGGUAGAGCGUUACAUUGGUAAUGUAAAGGUCCCGAGUUCGAAUCUCGGCUGUGGCU
rnacentral:tRNA from 1 species